AUACGGAGGGUGCAAGCGUUGUUCGGAAUCACUGGGCGUAAAGGGCGCGCAGGCGGUUUGAUUAGUCAGAUGUGAAAGCCCACGGCUUAACCGUGGAAGUGCAUUUGAAACUGUCAGACUUGAGUAUCAGAGGGGAAAGUGGAAUUCCCGGUGUCGAGGUGAAAUUCGUAGAUAUCGGGAGGAAUACCGGUGGCGAAGGCGACUUUCUGGCUGAAUACUGACGCUGAGGCGCGAAAGCGUGGGUAGCAAACGGGAUUAGAAACCCGAGUAGUCC
rnacentral:rRNA from 1 species